rnacentral:rRNA from 1 species
UAGUUGGUGGGGUAAGAGCCCACCAAGGCAGAGAUCGGUAGCCGGCCUGAGAGGGCACACGGCCGCACUGGCACUGAAACACGGGCCAGACUCCUACGGGAGGCAGCAGUGGGGAAUCUUGCACAAUGGGGGAAACCCUGAUGCAGCGACGCCGCGUGAGCGAUGAAGCCCUUCGGGGUGUAAAGCUCUUUCGUCAGGGAAGAUAGUGACGGUACCUGGAGAAGCAGCUGCGGCUAACUACGUGCCAGCAGCCGCGGUAAUACGUAGGCAGCAAGCGUUGUUCGGAGUUACUGGGCGUAAAGGGUGUGUAGGCGGUUCUUUAAGUUUGGUGUGAAAUCUCCCGGCUUAACCGGGAGGGUGCGCCGAAUACUGAGGGACUAGAGUACGGGAGAGGAAAGUGGAAUUCCUGGUGUAGCGGUGAAAUGCGUAGAUAUCAGGAGGAACACCGGUGGUGUAGACGGCUUUCUGGACCGUAACUGACGCUGAGACACGAAAGCGUGGGUAGCAAACAGGAUUAGAUACCCUGGUAGUCCACGCCCUAAACGAUGCAUAUUUGGUGUGGGCAGUUCAUUCUGUCCGUGCCGGAGCUAACGCGUUAAAUAUGCCGCCUGGGGAGUACAGUCGCAAGGCUGAAACUCAAAGGAAUUGACG